rnacentral:rRNA from 1 species
GACGAACGCUGGCGGCGUGCUUAACACAUGCAAGUCGAACGAUGAAGCUAGAGCUUGCUCUGGUGAAUUAGUGGCGAACGGGUGAGUAACACGUGAGUAACCUGCCCAGAACUCUGGGAUAACUGCUGGAAACGGUAGCUAAUACUGGAUACGACCUACGAAGGCAUCUUCUGUAGGUGGAAAGAAUUUCGGUUGGGGAUGGACUCGCGGCCUAUCAGCUUGUUGGUGAGGUAAUGGCUCACCAAGGCGACGACGGGUAGCCGGCCUGAGAGGGUGACCGGCCACACUGGGACUGAGACACGGCCCAGACUCCUACGGGAGGCAGCAGUGGGGAAUAUUGCACAAUGGGCGCAAGCCUGAUGCAGCAACGCCGCGUGAGGGAUGACGGCCUUCGGGUUGUAAACCUCUUUUAGUAGGGAAGAAGCGAAAGUGACGGUACCUGCAGAAAAAGCACCGGCUAACUACGUGCCAGCAGCCGCAGUAA